UCAGAGUACAAUGAUGACCAGC
rnacentral:piRNA from 1 species